ACGCUCGACACCUAUGGGAGGCAGCAGUGGGGAAUAUUGCACAAUGGGGGAAACCCUGAUGCAGCGACGCCGCGUGAAGGAAGAAGUAUUUCGGUAUGUAAACUUCUAUCAGCAGGGAAGAAAAUGACGGUACCUGAGUAAGAAGCACCGGCUAAAUACGUGCUAGCAGCCGCGGUAAUCUGAGCGGGCUGGCAAGGC
rnacentral:rRNA from 1 species